ACCUCAGAGACCAAGUAAGUUUGUUAUUGGUAUGAGCAUACACACAAAAGCUCAUACCAAUAACAAACUUAUUUGGUCCCUAAGGU